UACGUAGGGGGCGAGCGUUGUCCGGAUUUAUUGGGCGUAAAGCGCUCGCAGGUGGUUCGAUGCGUCGUGCGUGAAAGACCCCGGCUCAACUGGGGAGUGUCGUGCGAUACGGUCGGACUGGAGGCCAGUAGGGGGAUGCGGAAUUCCGGGUGUAGUGGUGGAAUGCGUAGAGAUCCGGAGGAACACCAGCGGCGAAGGCGGCAUCCUGGACUGGUCCUGACACUCAUGAGCGAAAGCGUGGGGAGCGAUCCGG
rnacentral:rRNA from 1 species